rnacentral:misc_RNA from 1 species
AAUUGGACAAAGUACUAAUGC